rnacentral:rRNA from 1 species
GACGAACGCUGGCGGCGUGCUUAACACAUGCAAGUCGAACGGAAAGGCCUCUUUCGGGGGGUACUCGAGUGGCGAACGGGUGAGUAACACGUGAGUAACCUGCCCUCGUCUUUGGGAUAACUUCAGUAAACUGGGGCUAAUACCGGAUAGGUGCUCCUUUUGCACGGUUGGGGUUGGAAAGAUUCGGGGGUUGGGGGUGGACUCGCGGCUUAUCAGCUUGUUGGUGGGGUGGUGGCUUACCAAGGCUUUGACGGGUAGCCGGACAGUGAGGGUGACCGGCCACAUUGGGACUGAGAGACGGCCCAGACUCCUACGGGAGGGAGCAGGGGGGAAUAUUGCACAAUGGGUGGAAGCCUGAUGCAGCAACGCCGUGUGCGGGAUGACGGCCUUCGGGUUGUAAACCGCUUUCGCUCAUGACGAAGCUUUGUGUGACGGUAGUGGGUAAAGAAGCACCGGCUAACUACGUG